GAUGAACGCUGGCGGCGUGCUUAACACAUGCAAGUCGAACGAGAAAUGUAGACGGAAACCUUCGGGCGGAAGCCUUCAUUUCGAGUGGCGGACGGGUGAGUAACGCGUGGGUAACCUGCCUCAUACAGGGGGAUAACAGUUGGAAACGACUGUUAAUACCGCAUAAGACCACAGCAUCGCAUGAUGCGGGGGUAAAAACCCCGGUGGUAUGAGAUGGACCCGCGUUCGAUUAGCCAGUUGGCGGGGUAACGGCCCACCAAAGCGACGAUCGAUAGCCGAUCUGAGAGGAUGACCGGCCACAUUGGGACUGAGACACGGCCCAAACUCCUACGGGAGGCAGCAGUGGGGAAUAUUGCACAAUGGGGGAAACCCUGAUGCAGCGACGCCGCGUGAGUGAAGAAGUACUUCGGUAUGUAAAGCUCUAUCAGCAGGGAAGAAAAUGACGGUACCUGAGUAAGAAGCCCCGGCUAACUACGUG
rnacentral:rRNA from 1 species